AAAUUAUGAGAAGUUUACCAAAAUAAUUAUGAAAAAAAAUAAAACAAUAGUACUAUACUAUACUUUUAUUAAGUAUAAACAUAAGAUUUUGUGGUAUCCACUAGUGUAAAUAUUUUAAAUUGAAGAUCGAAUUCAAUCAUUGUAUUCAUAUAAGGUCAAGGAGUGUUGUUGUAAAAAAUCAUCAAAAUCGGAGUUAAAUUAACCGUUAAAUCGUGAUUUUUUGUUUAUAACCGUCGAAAAGUUUUAUCCCGUUACGUGCUCUCUGAAUGUUUGUUUUUUGUAAUUUUUGGCGUAUGCGAUCUCGAAAUAUAUACAAACAUUUUUUACGGUUGGAUCAUUGAAACUACUUUCGUAGAAUGAGUAUCCCAUCAAAAUAAUAGAUUCACUAAUACUUGAGAGUUUAUUCAUACUUUUAUUAAGUAUAACAUAAGAUUUUGUGGUUUCCACUAGUGUAAAUAUUUUAAAUUGAAGAUCGAAUUCAAUCAUUGUAUUCAUCUAGGGUCAAGGAGUGUAGUUGUAAAAAAUCAUCAAAAUCGGAGUUAAAAUGACCGUUAAAUCGUGAUUUUUCGUUUAUAACUGUCGAAAAGUUUUGUCCCGUUACUUGAUCUCUGAAUGUUUGUUUUUUGCAAUUUUUGGCGUAUGCAAUCU
rnacentral:lncRNA from 1 species